rnacentral:rRNA from 1 species
UACGAAGGGGGCUAGCGUUGUCCGGAAUUAUUGGGCGUAAAGAGCUCGUAGGCGGUCUGUCGCGUCGGCUGUGAAAACUCGGGGCUCAACUCCGAGCUUGCAGUCGAUACGGGCAGGCUAGAGUUCGGCAGGGGAGACUGGAAUUCCUGGUGUAGCGGUGAAAUGCGCAGAUAUCAGGAGGAACACCGGUGGCGAAGGCGGGUCUCUGGGCCGAUACUGACGCUGAGGAGCGAAAGCGUGGGGAGCGAACAGG